UUGGUGGGUUGGCGGGUUGGGUGAGUUAGUUGGCGGGUUGGGUGCAUUAGGUGGCGGGUUUGGAGAGUUAGUUGGCAGGUUGGGUGCGUUAUUUGCCGUAGAGCAGAUUGGCGGUAUGGCGGAGGUUUGGCGGGUUGUUGGUUGGCGGGUUGGGUGCGUUAGUUGGCGGGUUGGCGGGUUGGGUGCGUUAGUGGGCGGGUUGGGUGCGUUAGUUGGCGGGUUGGCGGGUUGGGUGCGUUAG